rnacentral:lncRNA from 1 species
GAUGGAGCAGGGUAUAGAGAAGCCAUUAGGGAUGAUACAGAACACCACCAAAGGGUUAGUAACGGUGGGGAACUGUUUGCACCCCGAAGCCUGAAAGAGUGAAGUAGGGUGGGAUUACCUGGAAAGAGAGAGAGAGACAGAAGGAGAAUGAGAUUGAGGGAAGGGCUGCCUGGCAGGGGAAGCUGACGCCUUCAGAGCUCCUUCUGGGAUUCUCUAUUGGCUGAACUCAGCCAGAAGCUGCCAAGGGAGACCCCCACAACUGGAUGCAGCCCACUGAAGUCAGCUUCCUGGGGUGCGUAGCUGAAGGUAGCAGGGAGCAAAAAGAAUCUGAAGGGGAAGUGAACAAUGUAGAGCGUAUCUGUGCUGAAGACGUAAGGAGAGAGUGGAGGUCAGAAGCUGGCAUGGUCCCUGGUGCAUGUAUCAGCCGCUAAAGAAGUGGAGAGUAUGAACAUAAGCAAGAGGAAGUGAUGAGUAUCCCUUCCAGGAGAACUCUAAGAGGCAGUGAGUGAUUUGCUGGGCUCCCAAGCCCUCUGCUCUGAUGACAGCAAAGCCCCAAAUCAUGGUGCCUCCAUCAGUCGGGACCCCUCAGCAGAGCCAGCUUCACAGCUGGAGUGGAUGAAUCAGAACUUUCCCCAUGGGAGCAUUUAUAAAAAGGGGACACCCAGCGCAGAAGAUGUUUUCCAGGGAGAUCUCGGGGAGCCCAACAAGCCAAGAAGAGCAGAGCAAAGCAUUCCAAGGAAGGACUCUAAGUCUGCAACCGAGCACACACGAGCACAAGGAAAGACCAUGUGAAUACACAGCAAGAACGUGGUGCUCUGCAAGUCAGAAACAGACCCGUCAUCAGACACCAAAUCAGCCAGCACCUUGAUCUAGGAUUUCUGGCCUCCAAAACAGUGAGAAAAUAAAAUUCUGUUGUUUAAG